rnacentral:tRNA from 1 species
GGGGACGUAGCUCAAUUGGUAGAGUCCCGGACUGUCUAUCCGGUGGUUGCGGGUUCGAUCCCCGUCGUCCUCGCCA